AGAGUUUGAUCAUGGCUCAGAUUGAACGCUGGCGGCAGGCCUAACACAUGCAAGUCGAACGGUAACAGGAAUCAGCUUGCUGAUUCGCUGACGAGUGGCGGACGGGUGAGUAAUGUCUGGGAAACUGCCUGAUGGAGGGGGAUAACUACUGGAAACGGUAGCUAAUACCGCAUAACGUCGCAAGACCAAAGAGGGGGACCUUCGGGCCUCUUGCCAUCGGAUGUGCCCAGAUGGGAUUAGCUUGUUGGUGGGGUAACGGCUCACCAAGGCGACGAUCCCUAGCUGGUCUGAGAGGAUGACCAGCCACACUGGAACUGAGACACGGUCCAGACUCCUACGGGAGGCAGCAGUGGGGAAUAUUGCACAAUGGGCGCAAGCCUGAUGCAGCCAUGCCGCGUGUAUGAAGAAGGCCUUCGGGUUGUAAAGUACUUUCAGCGGGGAGGAAGGGAGUAAAGUUAAUACCUUUGCUCAUUGACGUUACCCGCAGAAGAAGCACCGGCUAACUCCGUGCCAGCAGCCGCGGUAAUACGGAGGGUGCAAGCGUUAAUCGGAAUUACUGGGCGUAAAGCGCACGCAGGCGGUUUGUUAAGUCAGAUGUGAAAUCCCCGGGCUCAACCUGGGAACUGCAUCUGAUACUGGCAAGCUUGAGUCUCGUAGAGGGGGGUAGAAUUCCAGGUGUAGCGGUGAAAUGCGUAGAGAUCUGGAGGAAUACCGGUGGCGAAGGCGGCCCCCUGGACGAAGACUGACGCUCAGGUGCGAAAGCGUGGGGAGCAAACAGGAUUAGAUACCCUGGUAGUCCACGCCGUAAACGAUGUCGACUUGGAGGUUGUGCCCUUGAGGCGUGGCUUCCGGAGCUAACGCGUUAAGUCGACCGCCUGGGGAGUACGGCCGCAAGGUUAAAACUCAAAUGAAUUGACGGGGGCCCGCACAAGCGGUGGAGCAUGUGGUUUAAUUCGAUGCAACGCGAAGAACCUUACCUGGUCUUGACAUCCACAGAACUUUCCAGAGAUGGAUUGGUGCCUUCGGGAACUGUGAGACAGGUGCUGCAUGGCUGUCGUCAGCUCGUGUUGUGAAAUGUUGGGUUAAGUCCCGCAACGAGCGCAACCCUUAUCCUUUGUUGCCAGCGGUCCGGCCGGGAACUCAAAGGAGACUGCCAGUGAUAAACUGGAGGAAGGUGGGGAUGACGUCAAGUCAUCAUGGCCCUUACGACCAGGGCUACACACGUGCUACAAUGGCGCAUACAAAGAGAAGCGACCUCGCGAGAGCAAGCGGACCUCAUAAAGUGCGUCGUAGUCCGGAUUGGAGUCUGCAACUCGACUCCAUGAAGUCGGAAUCGCUAGUAAUCGUGGAUCAGAAUGCCACGGUGAAUACGUUCCCGGGCCUUGUACACACCGCCCGUCACACCAUGGGAGUGGGUUGCAAAAGAAGUAGGUAGCUUAACCUUCGGGAGGGCGCUUACCACUUUGUGAUUCAUGACUGGGGUGAAGUCGUAACAAGGUAACCGUAGGGGAACCUGCGGUUG
rnacentral:rRNA from 2 species